rnacentral:rRNA from 1 species
GGUAAAAAAGCUCCGUAGUUGGAUUUCUGUUGAGGACGACCGGUCCAUACCACGUAUGCGCAUCUGGCUCGGCCUCGGCAUCCUCUCGAUAGACGUUCCUGCGCUUGAUUGCGUGGGGCGGAUCUCGGGACUUUUACUUUGAGGAAAUUGGAGUGUUCACGGCAGGCUAUCGCCAGAACAUAUUAGCAUGGAAUAAUACUAUAGGAUCUCGGUUCUAUUUUGUUGGUUUCUAGGAUUGAGAUAAUGAUUAAUAGGGACAAUUGGGGGCAUUCGUAUCAACACGUCAGAGGUGGAAUUCUUGGAUUGUGUUGCGACGAACUACUGCGAAAGCAUUUGCCAAGGAUGUUUUCAUUGAUCAAGAACGAAAGUAAGGGGAUCGAAGACGAUUAGAUACCGUCGUAGUCUUUACCAUAAACUAUGCCAACUAGAGAUCCGGCAUCGUUCACUUACGACUUGCUGGGCACCUUAUGGAUACUAAAGUCUUUGGGUUCCGGGGGGAGUAUGGUCGCAAGGCUGAAACUUAAAGGAAUUGACGGAAGGGCACCACCAGGAGUGGAGCCUGCGGCUUAAUUUGACUCAACACGGGGAAACUCACCAGGUCCAGACAUAAUAAGGAUUGACAGAUUGAUAGCUCUUUCUUGAUUUUAUGGGUGGUGGUGCAUGGCCGUUCUUAGUUCGUGGAGUGAUUUGUCUGCUUAAUUGCGU